ACAUGGCAAUAUUCCAAACACGUAUUAUGAUGCUAGUUUCUCAGGUUGGCACAAGUCCAUGAGAAAACUGUGGUUAGAUGAUGUCUCAACCCAGGGCCAAGGAUGUGUCUCAAUGGUCUUGCGUGACCCCUGUGAAAGGAUUACUUGAUACGCUCAAAGAGGUUGUGACCCAUAGGUUGGGAACAAUUGCUCUAUACCAAGACCCAUCUGAUUUCCAACAGCCAACCUUGCUGGGCCUUAGCACAUUGCAGUCACACAAAGACAGUGUUUUCUCAAUUGA